GCAUAUCAAUAAGCGGAGGAAAAGAAACCAACAGGGAUUGCCUCAGUAACGGCGAGUGAAGCGGCAACAGCUCAAAUUUGAAAUCUGGCCCUAGGCCCGAGUUGUAAUUUGCAGAGGAUGCUUUUGGUGCGGUGCCUUCCAAGUUCCCUAGAACGGGACGCCAGAGAGGGUGAGAGCCCCGUACAGUUGGACACCAAGCCUUUGUAAAGCUCCUUCGACGAGUCGAGUAGUUUGGGAAUGCUGCUCAAAAUGGGAGGUAUAUUUCUUCUAAAGCUAAAUACCGGCCAGAGACCGAUAGCGCACAAGUAGAGUGAUCGAAAGAUGAAAAGCACUUUGAAAAGAGGGUUAAACAGCACGUGAAAUUGUUAAAAGGGAAGCGCUUGUGACCAGACUUGCGUCCGGUGAAUCACCCAGCUCUCGCGGCUGGGGCACUUCGCCGGCUCAGGCCAGCAUCAGCUCGCUGUCGGGGACAAAAGCUUCAGGAACGUAGCUCUCUUCGGGGAGUGUUAUAGCCUGUUGCACAAUACCCUUCGGCGGGCUGAGGUACGCGCUCCGCAAGGAUGCUGGCAUAAUGGUCAUCAGCGACCCGUCUUGAAACACGGACCAAGGAGUCAACCUUAUGUGCGAGUGUUCGGGUGUCAAACCCCUACGCGUAAUGAAAGUGAACGCAGGUGAGAGCUUCGGCGCAUCAUCGACCGAUCCUGAUGUUCUCGGAUGGAUUUGAGUAAGAGCAUAUAGGGUUGGACCCGAAAGAAGGUGAACUAUGCGUGUAUAGGGUGAAGCCAGAGGAAACUCUGGUGGAGGCUCGCAGCGGUUCUGACGUGCAAAUCGAUCGUCAAAUAUGCGCAUGGGGGCGAAAGACUAAUCGAACCUUCUAGUAGCUGGUUUCCGCCGAAGU
rnacentral:rRNA from 1 species